rnacentral:rRNA from 1 species
GACGAACGCUGGCGGCGUGCCUAAUACAUGCAAGUAGAACGCUGAAGGAGGAGCUUGCUCUUCUGGAUGAGUUGCGAACGGGUGAGUAACGCGUAGGUAACCUGCCUGGUAGCGGGGGAUAACUAUUGGAAACGAUAGCUAAUACCGCAUAAGAGUAGAUGUUGCAUGACAUUUACUUAAAAGGUGCACUUGCAUCACUACCAGAUGGACCUGCGUUGUAUUAGCUAGUUGGUGGGGUAACGGCUUACCAAGGCGACGAUACAUAGCCGACCUGAGAGGGUGAUCGGCAACACUGGGACUGAGACACGGCCCAGACUCCUACGGGAGGCAGCAGUAGGGAAUCUUCGGCAAUGGACGGAAGUCUGACCGAGCAACGCCGCGUGAGUGAAGAAGGUUUUCGGAUCGUAAAGCUCUGUUGUAAGAGAAGAACGAGUGUGAGAGUGGAAAGUUCACACUGUGACGGUAUCUGACCAGAAAGGGACGGCUAACUACGUG